rnacentral:rRNA from 1 species
UACGUAGGGGGCAAGCGUUGUCCGGAUUUAUUGGGCGUAAAGAGCGUGUAGGCGGCCUGACAGGUCUGCUGUGAAAACUCGAGGCUCAACCUCGAGAUGUCGGCGGAAACCAUCUGGCUAGAGUCCGGAAGAGGAGAGUGGAAUUCCUGGUGUAGCGGUGAAAUGCGCAGAUAUCAGGAAGAACACCUGUGGCGAAGGCGGCUCUCUGGGACGGUACUGACGCUGAGACGCGAAAGCGUGGGGAGCGAACAGG